rnacentral:rRNA from 2 species
GUCAUAGAGGUCAAGCUACAAAGGGCUCAUGGUGGAUACCUAGGCACACAGAGGCGAUGAAGGACGCGAUUACCGGCGAUACGCUUCGGGGAGCUGGAAGUAAGCAUUGAUCCGAAGGUUUCCGAAUGGGGCAACCCCUAGUACGAAAGAGCGAACCCAGCGAAUUGAAACAUCUUAGUAGCUGGAGGAAAAGAAAGAAACCUCGAUUCCCUGAGUAGCGGCGAGCGAAACGGGAACAGCCUAAACCAAUAACUACGGUUAUUGGGGUCGUGGGACAGCAACAUGUACUGGGAAAGUUAGACGAAGUAGCUGAAUACUACACCAGAGGGGGUGAAAGUCCCGUAGUCGAAAACUGGAACAGGCUAGCUGAAUCCCGAGUAGCUUGGAGCACGUGAAAUUCCGAGUGAAUCAGCGAGGACCACCUCGUAAGGCUAAAUACUACUGUGUGACCGAUAGCGAAUAGUACCGCGAGGGAAAGGUGAAAAGAACCCCGGGAGGGGAGUGAAAUAGAACAUGAAACCAUGAGCUUACAAGCAGUGGGAGUCCGAUUCAACGGAUGACCGCGUGCCUGUUGAAGAAUGAGCCGGCGACUUAUAGGUACUGGCAGGUUAAGGCGGGAAUGCCGGAGCCAAAGCGAAAGCGAGUCUGAAAGGGCGUUAGUCAGUAUUUAUAGACCCGAACCCGGGUGAUCUAACCAUGUCCAGGAUGAAGCUUGGGUAACACCAAGUGGAGGUCCGAACCGACUGAUGUUGAAAAAUCAGCGGAUGAGGUGUGGUUAGGGGUGAAAUGCCAAUCGAACCCGGAGCUAGCUGGUUCUCCCCGAAAUAUGUUGAGGCAUAGCGGUUAGAGCUAUAGCUGGGGGGUAGAGCACUGGUUCGAUGCGGGCUGCGAGAGCGGUACCAAGUCGAGAUAAACUCCGAAUACCCAGCGUGAAUCUAGCCAGUCAGACUGUGGGGGAUAAGCUCCAUGGUCAAGAGGGAAACAGCCCAGACCAUCAGCUAAGGUCCUCAAGUUAUAGCUUAGUGAUAAAGGAGGUGGGAAUGCUCAGACAACCAGGAGGUUUGCCUAGAAGCAGCCAUCCUUAAAAGAGUGCGUAAUAGCUCACUGGUCAAGCGUUCCUGCGCCGAAAAUGAACGGGGCUAAGCUAUACACCGAAGCUAUGGGAUAUAUCUAUCGAUGUAUCGGUAGGGGAGCGUUCCGUUUAGGGAGAAGCGGUAGCGGAAGCAGCCGUGGACGAAACGGAAGUGAGAAUGUCGGCUUAAGUAGCGAAAACAUUGGUGAGAAUCCAAUGCCCCGAAACCCUAAGGGUUCCUCCGGAAGGCUCGUCCACGGAGGGUUAGUCGGGACCUAAGGCGAGGCCGAAAGGCGUAGUCGAUGGACACAGGGUUAAUAAUCCCUGACUACUGAGUUGGAGCGACUUGGGGACGCAUGAAAACUAGCUACGCCCUAAUUGGAUUGGGAGGGAGUUACGACUUCCGAGUAGUGAACGAUAGUGUCAAGAAAAGCCAAGAUCGUGAUGAAGGCCAGUACCCGUACCCGAAACCGACACAGGUGGGGUGGUAGAGUAUACCGAGGGGCGCGAGAUAACUCUCUCUAAGGAACUCGGCAAAAUGGCCCCGUAACUUCGGGAGAAGGGGUACCCCCGCGAGGGGGUCGCAGUGAAGAGUCCCAGGCGACUGUUUACCAAAAACACAGGUCUCUGCAAACUCGUAAGAGGACGUAUAGGGGCUGACGCCUGCCCAGUGCCGGAAGGUUAAGGAAGCUGGUUAGUUUUCGGAUGAAGCUAGCGACUGAAGCCCCGGUGAACGGCGGCCGUAACUAUAACGGUCCUAAGGUAGCGAAAUUCCUUGUCGGGUAAGUUCCGACCCGCACGAAAGGCGUAACGAUCUGGGAGCUGUCUCGGAGAGAGGCUCGGCGAAAUAGGAGUGUCUGUGAAGAUACGGACUACCUGCACCUGGACAGAAAGACCCUAUGAAGCUUUACUGUAGCCUGGUAUUGGGUUCGGGCUUUGCUUGCGCAGGAUAGGUGGGAGACUGUGAUAUAGCGCUUGUGGGCGUUAUGGAGUCAUCGGUGAGAUACCACUCUAGCAAGGUUAGAAUUCUAACUUCGAGCCGUGAAGCCGGACGAAGGACAGUAUCAGGUGGGCAGUUUGACUGGGGCGGUCGCCUCCUAAAAGGUAACGGAGGCGCGCAAAGGUUCUCUCAGGCUGGUUGGAAAUCAGCCGACGAGUGUAAAGGCAUAAGAGAGCUUGACUGCGAGACCAACAAGUCGAGCAGGGUGGAAACACGGCCUUAGUGAUCCGACGGUUGUGAGUGGAAGCGCCGUCGCUCAACGGAUAAAAGUUACUCUAGGGAUAACAGGCUGAUCUCCCCCAAGAGUUCACAUCGACGGGGAGGUUUGGCACCUCGAUGUCGGCUCAUCGCAACCUGGGGCUGAAGUCGGUCCCAAGGGUUGGGCUGUUCGCCCAUUAAAGCGGUACGUGAGCUGGGUUCAGAACGUCGUGAGACAGUUCGGUCCAUAUCCGGUGUAGGCGUAAGAGUAUUGAGAGGAGUUCUCCCUAGUACGAGAGGACCGGGAGGAACGCACCGCUGGUGUACCUGUUAUCGUGCCAACGGUAAACGCAGGGUAGCCAAGUGCGGAGGAGAUAACCGCUGAAAGCAUCUAAGUGGGAAGCCCACCUCAAGAUGAGUACUCUUACUGGGUUAACCAGUUAAGGUCACGGGAAGACUACCCGUUGAUAGGCAGCAAGUGGAAGUGUGGUAACAUGCGAAGCUGAGCUGUACUAAUAGACCGAGGGCUUGUCCUCA